rnacentral:rRNA from 1 species
GACGAACGCUGGCGGCGUGCCUAAUACAUGCAAGUUGAGCGCUGAAGGUUGGUACUUGUACCACCUGGAUGAGCAGCGGACGGGUGAGUAACGCGUGGGGAAUCUGCCUUUGAGCGGGGGACAACAUUUGGAAACGAAUGCUAAUACCGCAUAAAAACUUUAAACACAAGUUUUAAGUUUGAAAGAUGCAAUUGCAUCACUCAAAGAUGAUCCCGCGUUGUAUUAGCUAGUUGGUGAGGUAAAGGCCCACCAAGGCGAUGAUACAUAGCCGACCUGAGAGGGGGAAUGGCCACAAUGGGAACUAGAAAACGCCCAAGCUCCCACGGGAGGCAGCAGGAGGGAAACUUCGGGAAAGGAGGAAAGGCCGACCGAAGAAAGCCGCGGGGGGGGAGGAGGGUGUCGGAUCGGAAAACUCUGGUGAUAGGGAAGAACGUUAGGGAGAGUGGAAAGCGCAUCAAGUGACGGUAACUACUCAGAAAGGGACGGCUAACUACGUG